ACUCACUCAACAGCGUCACCGGCCAGCACCACCAUGCCAGGCCUCAGUGAGGAAUCUACCACCAUCUACAGUGGACCAAGCUCAACUGAAACCACAGUGUUUUCUCAUAGCACCACAACCUCCAUUCAUGUUGAACAACCUACAGCCUUCCCUGGUAGCCUAGGCUCCACCGAAAUAGUGUUACCUGUCACCCUUACCACCACAGACCUUGGUGAGGAAUCAACAGCCUUCCACAGUAGCUCAGACGCAACUGUAACAACACCCUUACCUCCCCACUCCACAACCUCAGCCCUCGUUGGCGAAUCUGCAACGUUCUAUAUGAGCCCAUCCACUAGUUACACAACCCUCUUUCCUGCCAGUUCCAGCACAUCAGGCCUCACUGGGGAAUCUACCACCUUCCACACCAGUCCAAGCUUCCCUUUUACAUUUGCGUCUACUGAAAGCCUGCAAACCUUAGUGCCAGGGUCAUGCCAGGAAGGACAAAUCUGGAAUGGAAAACAAUGCGUCUGUCCCCAAGGCUACGUUGGUUACCAGUGCUUGUCCCCUGUGGAAUCCUUCCUUGUAGAAACCCCGGAAAAACUCAAUGCCACUUUAGGUAUGACAGUGAAAGUGACUUACAGAGAUUUCACAGAACAGAUGAAUGACUCAUCCUCCCAGGAAUACCAGAACUUCAAUAGCCUCUUCAAGAAUCGGAUGGAUGUCGUUUUGACAGGCGACGAUCUUCCGCAGUAUAGAGGGGUAAACAUUCGGAGAUUGCUCAACGGUAGCAUCGUGGUCAAGAAUGAUGUCAUCCUGGAGGCAGACUACACUUCAGAGUAUGAAGAACUGUUUGAAACCCUGGUAGAGAUUGUAAAGGCCAAGAUUAUGAAUGAAACCAAAACAGUUCAUGAUCGUGAUCAUGAUUUCUGCAGAGAGGCCAUACUGUGCUAUAGUGAAGAGGACACUUUCGUGGAUUCAUCGGUGACACUGGGCUUUGACUUCCAGGAGCAAUGCACCCAGAAGGCUGCCAAAGAAUAUGCCCAGUUCUACUAUGUGGAUGUCUUGGAUGGGAAGCUGGCCUGUGUGAACAAGUGCACCAAAGGAACGAAGUCCCAAAUGAACUGUAACCUGGGCAUGUGUCAGCUGCAACGCAGUGGCCCCCGUUGCCUGUGCCCAAAUACAGACACACACUGGUACUGGGGAGAGACCUGUGAAUGGAACAUCGCCAAGAGCCUCGUGUAUGGCAUCGUGGGGGCUGUGGUGGCGGUGCUGCUGCUCUCAUUGAUCAUCCUGGUCAUCUUAUUCAGCAUAUCCCAGAGAAAACUGCACAGGCAACAGUAUGAUAUGCCUCAAGAGUGGCGAAACGAAGGCACCCCUGGCACCUUCCAGAAGACGGCCAUCUGGGAAGACCAGAAUCUGAGGGAGAGCAGAUUCGGCCUUGAGAACGCCUACAACAACUUCCGGCCCACCCUGGAGACUGUUGACUCAGGCACAGAGCUCCACAUCCAGAGGCCGGAGAUGGUAGCAUCUGCUGUGUGAGCCAGUGGGGGCCUCCCACCCUCAUCUAUCUCUGGACAGGAGAGCGGCAAACACAGGGCCCACCACAGACUGCAGUCCCCCAGGGUUGGUCAAGAGGAGGCUGAAGUCGGGCCCUGAAGCCGGUCCUGCUCUGAGCUGACAGACUUGGCCUGUCCCGGGCCUGUGCUCCUGCUGGGGGCUAUAAGGCCUUCCAUCCAGGAGCUCCCAGACUCCCAGAAGCCUCAGCACCCCUGUCUCCUCUUGGGUGACACCCCACUCUGGAAUUUCCCUACCAAUAAAAGCAAAUCUUAAAGCUCAGAAUGUGAAGUGAGAGGUUUCCUUCCCCUCCUUCUGCAGUGGGAGUCAGGUGGGGGGUCAGAGUCCUCCCAGGACUGGCUGCUGAAUCGGUCAUGGAACAAAC
ensembl:lincRNA